rnacentral:lncRNA from 14 species
GCCUGUGCAGAUCUGCUGUCCCACCAGAAGCAGCUUACAGUGGGCCUGCCCCCUGAGCCCCGGGAGAAGACCAUAUCUACGCCUCUUCCCCCAGAGGAGCUCACAGAACUCAUAUACGAAGCCAGUGGACAGGACAUCAGCAUUGCUGUCCUCACACAGGUCAGGUGCUGAUGCAGGAAGGGCAAGUUGGGGUAUAGCCUUCCUUGGAGUGCCAAAAGGCCUCAGGUUCCCUGAAGCCCUGUUUCCCUGUGUAUCUGCACCAGGAGAUCGUGGUUUACCUGGCCAUGUAUGUCCGGGCCCAGCCUAGCCUCUUUGCAGAGAUGCUCAGACUCCGGAUUGGAUUGAUCAUCCAGGUGAUGGCCACAGAGCUGGCUCGGAGCCUGAACUGCUCAGGUAAAAGGCCAUGGCUUGCUACUCCUGACACCUCAGCCCUACCUUAAGGCCUUGCUGUGCAAGGGGUCAUACUCAAGCACUUCUGAACAGGCUUCCAUUCUGGGUGAGCUUUGGCUCUCUCAGGUUCCUUUGUGAGAGGUGGCUGCUGUCAGGCCACAUAUUACAACAAUCUUCACUGGGGUAGGCACAGCCUCCACCAUGUUUACAUGAGAAUCUUUGCUGUCUUUGACAGCUAAGCUACAAUGAUGUUCUCACUGUAAGAUCGCUUAAUAACACCUUCACUGGAAGAAAUACAAACAUUUGCAAAACACAUUUCAGCAUCAGAGAUCAGUGCAAUGUGAAAAAUUCUAUGUCUAGGAAUUAAAUGCUCCUGUACUGACCUAAACAGAAGGAUUUGCAUUCCCCAAGGACCAAUGUCUUUGAGGGCCUUUGAAGGGAUUUGAAGGAAUUCUGAACAAGGAGACCUGCCACUGCCUUCUACAUCGUCCUCUUACACCCUGAGCCACACACCACCAGCCCAUGUCUAGGUCUCACAUUUGUUUGCAGGGGAAGAAGCUUCAGAGAGCUUGAUGAACCUCAGCCCUUUCGACAUGAAGAGCCUUCUGCAUCAUAUACUGAGUGGGAAGGAGUUCGGCGUAGAGAGAAGUGUGCGCCCAAUACACUCCUCCAUGUCCAGCCCUGCCAUCUCCAUCCAUGAGGUGGGUCAUACUGGAGUCACCAAAACUGAGAGGAGUGGUAUCAGCAGACUGAGGAGUGAGAUGAAACAGAGGUCCAGCACACCGUCCUCCCCGACAGGCACAUCAUCUACAGACUCUGGAGGACACCACCUGGGCUGGGGAGAACAGCAGGGCCAGUGGCUGCGCAGGAGAAGAUUGGAUGGGGCUAUCAACAGGGUCCCUGUGGGAUUCUACCAGAGAGUGUGGAAGAUCCUUCAGAAGUGCCAUGGUCUAUCCAUCGACGGUUAUGUCCUCCCAUCUUCAACAACCCAAGAGAUGACCCCUUGUGAGAUCAAGUUCGCUGUCCAUGUGGAAUCAGUGCUCAACCGUGUGUCCCAGCCCGAGUAUCGGCAGCUACUGGUAGAAGCCAUCAUGGUACUGACACUGCUCUCAGAUACGGAAAUGGACAGUAUCGGGGGCAUCAUCCAUGUGGACCAGAUAGUGCAGCUAGCCAAUCAGCUGUUCCUGCAGGACCAGGUGGGUGUGACUGGGCCAAUGGCAGGGUAG